GAUUCGCCAGGGCACACAGCCCUCUAUGGCACUUACACACUGCUUGAGACAGUUGCCAAUAGGAUCAUCCACUUUGAAUUGGUCAAGUCAACAGAAGUCUCAAGCAGCAAUGCCAUGGAGGUACAUGGUCUAAAGAACUGCCUUGCCUACCUUGAAGCACAUGACAUGGUUGUGGACACCAUAGUGACUGACCGCCACACUGCAAUAAAGUCUGUGUUAAGGGAAUUGUGUCCACACAUCAAACACCGUUUUGACGUGUGGCACGUUGCGAAAGGGAUCAAGAAAAAGCUUGUGUCUCUCAGCCGCUCCACAAAGCACCACGUUGUGAAGUUCUGGAUAGAGAGCCUUAUCCGACACAUAUACUGGUGUCCAAAGUACAGUGGGGAAAGUGGUGACCUUUGUCUGGCGAAGUGGGUAUCGGCAGUGAACCACAUUGUCGAUGUCCAUGAGCAUGACAACCCACUGUACCCAGUUUGUUAUCAUGGCCCAGUUUCAGAACCACGAGAAUGGCUCAAAGAAGGUAAGUACAAAUAGAUAAACCAAUGGGUGCAGUCAGGCGAUAAGUCAAGAAAUCUCUGAGAAAACUUUAAAUGAAUAUUUGGUAAAGUAAUUGCAUCUGGGUUUUCUG